CGGUUCGGGCCCCCCCCCCGCUCCCCGCGCCGCGGACGCCGAUUGGCCCCGCGCCGCGUCGCUCAAGGCGGAGCCGCGCGGCGAUUGGCGGGCGGAGGGUCCCCCGGGGGCGGGGCCAGCGCGGCGGCGGCGGCCGUUGGAAUUGGCGGGAAGCGCUGUCAGUUAGGCGCCCCCCCCUCCCCUCCCCCCCCCGCCCUCCCUCCCUCCUCCCGCUCCUCCCCGCCCGCCCGGGUUCUGGGCGGGGCCGGCGGAGCGCGCGCGGCGGGCGAUUGGUCGGCGGCCCCCGGCGCGGCGCCGCCAUUGGUGGGCGGCGCCGCCCGUCACGGGGAGGGCGGGGAGGGCUGGGGGGGGAGGGGGAGGGGGCAGCGCGCGCCGCGCUCCCUGCGGGGCUGGGCCGGGUUUGAAAUUUAACGGCCGCAACGGCCGCCGGGACACGCCCCCUCCGCGCGCGCCGGGACACGCCCCUCCCCCGGCCCCGGCCACGCCCCGCGGCACCGGGGGGCGGGGGGGGGGGCACCGGGGGGCGUUAACGGGGGCUCCGGGGGGGCUUUGGGGGCACCGGAGGGGGUCUGGGGGUGGGCAGGGGGCACGGGGGGGGCUCCGGGGGGGCUCUGGGGGCACUGGGGGGGUCUGGGGGGCGUUAACGGGGGGCCCGGGGGGGCUUUGGGGAUACCGGGACCCCCCCCCCGGGGCUUUUAGGGGCACCAGAGGGGCUCAGGGGAGGGGUUGGGGGCACCGGGACCCCCCCUCGGGGGCUUUAGGAUCACCGGGACCCCCCCUCGGGGGCUUUAGGGUCACUGGGACCCCCCCACAGGUUACUUGGGGUCACCGGGACCCCCCCUCGGGGGCUUUAGGAUCACCGGGACCCCCCCAUGGGGCUUUUAUGGGCACUGGGAUGACCCCAAAGGGCACCAGGACCCCCAAAGGUCACUUAGGGGCACAGGGACCCCCGCUCGGGGGCUUUAGGGUCACUGGGACCCCCCCACGGCCACUGGGACCCCCCCACGGGCACCGGGACCCCCCCGUGGGGCCUUUAUGGGCACCGGGACCCCCCCCCACAGGUCACUCAGGGUCGCCAGGACCCCCCCUCAGGAGCUUUAGGGUCACCCGGACCCCCCCACGGCCACCGGGACCCCCCCAUGGACACCGGGACCCCCCCGUGGGGCCUUUAUGGCCACCGGGCCCCCCCUUCGGGGGCUUUAUGGGCCCUGCAGCCCCCCC
rnacentral:lncRNA from 1 species